rnacentral:tRNA from 1 species
CUGUGGACCCGUCUAGCUCAGUUGGUAGAGCACAAGGCUUAACCUUGUGGUCGUGGAUUCGAGCCCCACGGUGGGCGC